rnacentral:misc_RNA from 1 species
GUGUGUGUGUGUGUGUGUGUUGGGAUGUUUAUUUGGAGGAUAGUUGUUCCUUCUAAAAUUUCUUGGGGGAAUAUUGGUUGUGCACCAUUUGCUACUAUAUUCCUACUCAUUCUUCUAUUUUGUAAAUAAAAAGGACAAAAAAAGAACCAUUUGGAAUAACCAUUCAUAUAAUUUACAAUUAUUGACCCUUGAUCUCUAACAUAUCCAAGUCAUAUGCAUGUAAAUAAUUAUUGCUA